rnacentral:lncRNA from 1 species
GCAUGGGGAUGGGGUAUUUAAAAUUCCUCCAUGGCAUAUAAUAUUAAUCCGUUUUAUGUAAAAUUCAUACCUGUAACUUAAUUUGCUCCAUUAACGCGCGGGAUCACGUAUUAGCCGAUGUACCAUGUUUUAAAUAUGAUGCUGCGAAUGUCCGGAGUUCUGCACUCUGAGGCAGCAUUAAAAUUAACAGGCGCGUCCCCCAGAGCCCGGCUUAAGUCGUCCCGUGGCAGAGCCCAACCUUUUAAUUCAAUAUCGCGGUGCGCAAACUUUCUGUUAAUUCCUGAACAACCCGUGCAUAUUUCUACGGGACGCCGGUAUGAGACACACCGCGCCCGGCCCUACAGCUGCUGCGAUGCUCCCAGCUCGUGAAACCCUCCUAGAAGCUUGUGCGAUCUCGCUGGAAAUCUCUGGGAAACCCCAGUCUGUAACUGGUUCCCCUUUAGCACUUGCAAAGCCAGUUUGGACAGAUGAUACACUCAGGCUGGAGUGUCACAGUGAGAAUCCCCUGACACUACAACGGCUCUUGAAAAUGACGUGGUAUUUCUGGAAACGCGUGAAGAACCGUGAUACGCCGCCAAGCUCUUUUUCCAUCGGGCUACUUCCACAGAAGAGGCUCUGCAGGGAAACCCGGGGCCCUGUAUGCAUUGCUCCAGUUGCGAGAAGAUCGUGUGUGUUCCCAUAGCUAGCGUAUCUCGGUAGAGAUACGUGGGAAAGGGAAAAACAGCCCUCCCCUCUGACUAUCGCAUAAAUAUUCAGGGGAUUUCCUCUAGUAACUCCCUUUGAUGCUCGUGGAGUUGAUACAUGCUAGCCCGACAUGCUCCGGUGAACAAUAGGCACCAAUUCCCUGUUAACAACCCGUCUGCUUGUGCUCUCCUUGAAGUCAAUGGGAGUUUUGUCAUUGACUUAAGUGGGAGCAGGUUGGGUCGGCUGCUUUUUCAAAAUUUAGAUCGGAUGUGCACCAGAUGCUAAGGAAAUUGCUCUAGAAAUGGGUUGGAAAGCCCAGUAUGCUAGCAGUGGAGGUAGGCAUAGUGAAACUCUUCAU